GACGAACGCUGGCGGCGUGCUUAACACAUGCAAGUCGAACGGAAAGGCCCUGCUUUUGUGGGGUGCUCGAGUGGCGAACGGGUGAGUAACACGUGAGUAACCUGCACUUGACUUUGGGAUAUCUUCAGGAAACUGGGGCUAAUACCGGAUAGGAGCUCCUGCAGCAUGGUGGGGGUUGGAGAGUUUCGGCGGUUGGGGAUGGACUGGCGGCUUAACAGCUUGUUGGUGGAGUAGUUGCUUACCAAGGCUUUGACGGGUAGCCGGCCUGAGAGGGUGACCGGCCACAUUGCGACUGAGAUACGGCCCAGACUCCUACGGUAGGCAGCAGGGGAGAAUAUUGCACAAUGGCCGGAAGCCUGAUGCAGCAACGCCGCGUGCGGGAAGACGGCCUUCGGGUGAUAAACCGCUUUCGCCUGUGACGAAGCGUUAGUGACGGUAAUGGGUAAAGAAGCACCGGCUAACUACGUG
rnacentral:rRNA from 1 species